GACGGAGGGUGCGCGCGUUAAUCGGAAUUACUGGGCGUAAAGCGCAUGUAGGCGGCCGAACAAGUCAGGUGUGAAAUCCUCGGGCUUAACCUGGGAAGUGCACUUGAUACCGUCCGGCUAGAGUUUGGCAGAGGAAAGUAGAAUUCCCGGUGUAGCGGUGAAAUGCGUAGAUAUCGGGAGGAAUACCAGUGGCGAAGGCGGCUUUCUGGGCCGAUACUGACGCUGAGGUGCGAAAGCGUGGGGAGCAAACAGG
rnacentral:rRNA from 1 species